rnacentral:rRNA from 1 species
CGCGUAGGCGGCCUGCUAAGUCUGGAGUGAAAGUCCUGCUUUCAAGGUGGGAAUUGCUUUGGAUACUGGUGGGCUGGAGUGCAGGAGGGGAAAGCGGAAUUACCGGUGUAGCGGUGAAAUGCGUAGAGAUCGGUAGGAACACCAGUGGCGAAGGCGGCUUUCUGGACUGAAACUGACGCUGAGGCGCGAAAGCGUGGGGAGCAAACA